GCGGAUAGAAUAGAUUAUUUUCUAGAGAGCCUUUACAUUUAUAAAUACCUUUGUACACUCUGGCACCAUGCUGGGGAUGACAACCUAGUAUCUAAGUGGUGUUAGCUAGUGUCAACAGACGCUCCCCAAAAACUGAUUUCCCGCGCACCCGAGCAGGUGUCUCGAUGCAAGGCGUCGGGUUCCAGAGGCUUGCUCUCCCGAUCUCUAUGCGCGCAGAGGUUCGAGACGGGGAUGAACUAGAACACAACUCGACAGGGAGAUGAGAGGAGGACUGAUGUGUUGUGUCUCGCAGAUGGAAAGAUGAUGCAGGAAAGGAAUAUAUAGGCUAGAGAGGAAACAUCUGGUUUAAUAGCAAUCCAUGACAAUCGAUUGCCUUUAACCAAACAACUGUCAGAUUCCGAUUCUCCUCCCUUUUCACGCGCGCGUCACGUCACGACACGCGGGCUCUGUGCGCGCAGAGGUUUAGGACGGGGAUGAACCAGAGCACAACUCGACAGGGAGAUGAGAGGAGGACUGAUUUGUUUGUGUCUCGC
rnacentral:lncRNA from 1 species